rnacentral:hammerhead_ribozyme from 1 species
UCACUGCUGAAGAGUUCCAAAAUAGGACGAAACAGUCGUCCAGUAC